rnacentral:misc_RNA from 1 species
GAUGAAGAACGUAGCGAAAUGCGAUAAGUAAUGUGAAUUGCAGAAUUCAGUGAAUCAUCGAAUCUUUGAACGCACCUUGCGCCCUUUGGCCAUUCCGAAGGGCAUGCCUGUUUGAGUAUCAUGAACACCUCAACUCUUUAUGGUUUUCCAUGAUGAGCUUGGACUCUGGGGGUUUUGCUGGCUCACAGUCGGCUCCUCUCAAACGGAUCAGCUUUCCAGUGUUUGGUGGCGUCACGGGUGUGAUAACUAUCUACGCCUGUGGUUUUCUGCCAGAUAACCUUCAGCGAUGGAGGUUCGCUGGGGCUCAUAAAUGUCUCUCUUCAGUGGAGACAGCUUUUUGGACGUUUGAUCUCAAAUCAGGUAGGACUACCCGCUGAACUUAAGCAUAUCAAUAAGCGGAGGA